rnacentral:tRNA from 1 species
GGGAAUGUGGCUCAGUGGUAGAGUGCUUGCCUAGUAUGCAUGAAGCCCUGGGUUCGAUACCUCAGUACCA